AUUCAGGUCUUCAGUUUAUUUUAUAUAGUUAGUCUUAACAUAUUCUCUUGGUUAUAGCAAUUGGCUCGUUAAUGUAGCCACUCGAAUGGGAGAAGAGGGGCUGAUUCUGAUGGAUUUGUUGCAAUUUUGUGGAAAGCGAGCAAAUUAUCCAGUUGAAAGGGUAUAACGUAUCAUUGUUCAGUACAGGACCUCUCAGAUGCAAUGCACAUUUUGGUACAGCAGAUGGCAAUAAAACUGAAUUUUCUGCCUGAUAAUAGCACAUAUUUCAUUUGCUAGAACUUUCAUUAGUUACUUCCCUCAGGUAUAUAACUCCCUCUGUCAAAAAGGAAAAGAUUGAAUCCACGAAGGGAGUAGCACUUGGACUAUGAAGAAGUAGAAAAUAUCUCGCAUUAACAUAUUCCUGGACAAUGAUCAUGGUUUGGUUAUUAUGAUUACUUUCGGCAGGUUACAUGUUCUAGAAGAGUUUGAUGAAGGGAAGCGGAGCUGUCGUAGGCGUUUAGCUUGUCAUAAGAAACGAAGAAGGAAAACACAUCAAGAAAAUGUAGCUAAUGGAGCCUCCGUGAAUGAUGAGGGGGGUAGUAACUACUUAUUAAUUAGUCUGCCGAGGAUACUGGCCAAUGUACAGUUCAAUAGCUCGGAUCAAACUAAAGACCAGAAAU